GACGAGCGCUGGCGGCGUGCCUAAUACAUGCAAGUCGUGCGGACCUUUUAAAAGCUUGCUUUUAAAAGGUUAGCGGCGGACGGGUGAGUAACACGUGGGCAACCUGCCUGUAAGACUGGGAUAACGCCGGGAAACCGGGGCUAAUACCAGAUCGUUUUUUCCUCCGCAUGGAGGAAAAAGGAAAGGCGGCUUCGGCUGCCACUUACAGAUGGGCCCGCGGCGCAUUAGCUAGUUGGCGGGGUAACGGCCCACCAAGGCAACGAUGCGUAGCCGACCUGAGAGGGUGAUCGGCCACAUUGGGACUGAGACACGGCCCAAACUCCUACGGGAGGCAGCAGUAGGGAAUCUUCCGCAAUGGACGAAAGUCUGACGGAGCAACGCCGCGUGAGUGAAGAAGGCCUUCGGGUCGUAAAACUCUGUUGCCGGGGAAGAACAAGUGCCGUUCGAACAGGGCGGCGCCUUGACGGUACCCGGCCAGAAAGCCACGGCUAACUACGUG
rnacentral:rRNA from 1 species